rnacentral:rRNA from 1 species
UUCCCGAAUUCAAAAGAGCUAUAUAUUUUAUUGUAAUAAAUAUUUUUUACAUGAAAUGAAAUGUUAAUAUAUCUGGUUUUUUAAGAGAAUUUAAUUUUCUUAUGUUUUAAGGGAUGAGCUUUGAAUAGGAUUAGAAGUUUUGUUAUAAUUUUUUUAUUAUAAUGAUUUAUUUAACUUUGAUUGUAAUAAUGAUUAAAUUAGUAUAAGGUUAGUAAAAGUAAUUCGGCAAAAAUUUUUCACCUGUUUAUUAAAAACAUGUCCUCUAAGAAAUAAUAGGAGGUCGAGCCUGCCCACUGAGGCCGCGGUAUUUUGACCGUGCGAAGGUAGCAUAAUAAUUAGUUUUUUAAUUGAAAGCUGGAAUGAACGGUUUUAUGAGAAAAUUACUGUCUCUUACUAAUGGAACUUUAUUUUUAAGUAAAAAAGCUUAAAUUUUGUUAAAAGACGAGAAGACCCUAUAGAGUUUUAUUUUGGUUGGGGUGAUUGGAAAAUUAAAAUAACUUUUGAUUAUAAGAUAAAAUUACCUUAGGGAUAACAGCGUAAUCUUUCUUAGAGUUCAAAUCGAAAGAGGGGGUUGCGACCUCGAUGUUGGAUUAAAAUUUAUUUUGGUGCAGAAGCU